ensembl:misc_RNA Y_RNA Y RNA
GAAUGUAGUGAGUUAUCCCAACUGAUUGUUUACAGUCACAGAUUGAACUCUUUGUUCUACUCUUUCCCCUCUUCUUACCGCUGCACUU